rnacentral:misc_RNA from 1 species
AAGUCGUAACAAGGUUUCCGUAGGUGAACCUGCGGAAGGAUCAUUAAAAGAUAUUGCAUACUCUCCGGAGCAUACUUUAUACACCCUUUCCGAGUACCUUACCUGUUGCUUCCGUAGAGCAGUAACUCCGAUUACCUCUGAUCAUGGCCUUGGUCAUCUUCAGGGAGUCUCUACGGGAGGUAUACAUUAAACUCUUGCAUUACCAUGUCAUCUGUCUGAAUCUGUUUAUAACAAAUGUUAAAACUUUCAACAACGGAUCUCUUGGUUCUC